AUUGAACGCUGGCGGCAGGCCUAACACAUGCAAGUCGAGCGGAGCGGCCGACGGGUGAGUAAUGCCUAGCAAUCUGCCUGGUAGCGGGGGAUAACGUCCGGAAACGGGCGCUAAUACCGCACACUAUCAGAUGAGCCUAGGUCGGAUUAGCUAGUUGUUGGGGUAAAGGCCUACCAAGGCGACGAGCCGUAACUGGUCUGAGAGGAUGAUCAGUCACACUGGAACUGAGACACGGUCCAGACUCCUACGGGAGGCAGCAGUGGGGAAUAUUGGACAAUGGGCGAAAGCCUGAUCCAGCCAUGCCGCGUGUGUGAAGAGGUUCUUCGGGUUGUAAAGCACUUUAAGUUGGGAGGCGUUACCAACAGAAUAAGCACCGGCUAACUUCGUGCCAGCCGCCGCGGUAAUUC
rnacentral:rRNA from 1 species